AUUUCUAUUCGAAAGUACCUUUUUUUUUUCUAAAAGUUUAUCAAACACCUUAAAGGGAAAAAAAACACCUUUGUCAAAAACAAAAACACUUUUAAACCAAAAAUAUCUUGGCCAAACAUGUCGCACACCUAUUUUGAUAGGUGGUGCACGUAGAACGCCUAAUGUGUUUGUGCAAUGACAAAAAGAGCCUUCCUUUCUUUCUUUCUUUCUUUCUUCACACCUUCAACUAAUGCAUCUUCAAUUUAUCUUCUUCGGUAUUUGAUUCUAAGGUAUGCUCUUCUUUCAAUAUUUUUCCAAAUCUUCUUCUACUCUUUCCUAUAUCUUUUUUUCUUUCCGUGUCUUUGUUGGGUUCAAUAAAAAAAAUGGGGAAUGGUUUAGGGUUUGUUAUGUGUAAAAUGUGGGAGUUGCGAUUGGGAGUAGUUGAUAAAGAAACACAUCGUGAUUGUAAUUUCAUUUGCUUAAGGAUUCUUUUUAAGGAUUUGAAUUCAACAACAAGAGAAGAGUUUUGUCUUCAGAUUUGGUUUGCCUUUUUGGGGCAAACUUGCAUAUCUUCAAUGGUGGUAUUUUUGCUAUGAGUCUGAAGUAUGAUUUUCUCAAAUCCUGAAAAUUAAGUCCAAAUAAAAAUUGAUAUCAACAGUAAGAUAUUAAGAUCUUAAACAUGUCUAUUUAUAAUGCAUGCUCUAAAAAUGGUUGCGGAAAAGAUUGAAUUCAUGAACAAUUAAACUUCCGACUUAGCUCUGAAAAUUGAGUGAUGAGAAUUUGUUAAAUAUACCUAAAAAGGGAAGAUCCCAACCAUGAUGGAGCAGGGUGCUGGCCAGCAGGGCCGGCUGGAGAGUCGAGCCUCUGAAGCAAAGGCUUUAGGCCCCGGGCCCCAUUUUUUAUUAAUAGUGUAGUUUUUAUUUCUUUCUUAACAAAAUACCAUUGAAUAUUGUAUAGUAAAAAGGUACAAUAUAAGAUUUUUGUUUUUGUUAAAAGAACGAAAGAGAACCAUUUAGCCAUUAAUUUUAAUAUCAAUACAUUUUUACUUUUCUUUUCUUUCUCAUAAUAAAACUUGUACCAUGUACUUUUUUUCCAUCCUAUUAAGCUAUCUAUUCUCUCAAAAAUAAGGCAAGGACAUUGAAUAAGUUAAUUGAGCUUUCCUUUCAUUUUUUCAAGUUUUCAAAUAUUGCAACAAGUGAAUUAAAGCAGUGAAAUUUUAGAGUGAUAUCAAAUUAUCAACUUCUAAAAUCAGGUUAUAUUAUUCUAGCUUUUUAUUAUCUUGUAAUUAAAUUUUACCAUUGUAAAUUUUACUUAUAGAUGUAUAUUGCUUUUCAUUGAAUAUUAGAAUUGAAAUAUGUAAACUAAAAAUAUAAAUCAGAUUAUAUAAAACACACGAAAAAAGAGAGGAGAUCAAGAACUGAACCUCUAUAUAAUCUUAAAAAAGGAGCUAUUUAAACAUGGUCUUAAAGAUGAAUCGGAUAAAUUGUCAAUUGAAAAAUUAAUAUAAAUAGCAUAGAUUAUAAGAACUUAUUAAUAAUUUUGCAUCUUAAAUAACUAGAAAAAUUACAUUAAAUAAAAGUAUAUAUGUGAAGUUUUUUUUCCAAAUAAAAAGUAAAGGCAUGUUAAUAUGUUUUGCUUUAGGCCACCAAUUUGGUUGAAUCGCUCUUGCUAGUCAGUAUGGCGCCGCCACGGCAGCUGCCUGUGCUAAACUCUCAUUGGAGUGUACUGUAUUCGUGGGAAGCUUAGAUAUGGAGAGAUAACCUUCCAACGUACUCUUGAUGAAGCAUCUUGGUGCAAAGGAGCGUCUUUAGUAAUGUCACAAAUUACUUAGUAACUUUUUUUGUCACAUUGACGUAACUACUACUAUUUACAGCUUGUUUGGAUGGUUGUUAUUUUUUGUAUUAUAUCGUAUUUUUACUUUAAAUAUAAUAUUUGUUUUGAUUGUUACUUAAAUUUUAUUGUAUCGUAUCGUUUAAAUCCGUCGUUAUGUAACGACGAAAAAUAUCACUUUAUGAACGACCGAUUUGGUAUGGUCGCGUCGUGUCCUUAUUUUUUUCUCCCAUCUUAUACUUUUUAUUAUUAAAUAAUCUUAUUUUAUCUUUUACCCUACCUUUUUUAUAUUACUAGCUUUAGUGUACGUAUGUUACACGUGUGCCUAGCGUCAAUCAAUAAAAUAUGUGUACAAGAAAAGCAUAUAAAUUAGGUUAUCAAAUGCUAAAUUUUAAAAUGACUACAUUAAGUUAAUAUGAUACAAUAAGCAACUUAAAGCUUGUUUGGAUGGUUGUUACUUGUUUGUUUUGAUUGUUACUUAAAUUUUAUUGUAUCGUAUCACUAAAUCCUUUGUUACGUAACGACGAAAAGUGUCACUUUAUGGAAUGACUGAUUUGGUGUGGUGGCAUCGUAUGACGAUUUUGAACUCAGGUGUGCGUCCAAAUUUGGAUUUAAAAAUCCGUAGGAUAAUUCAGCGCAUUUUGGCGGAAAUUGAAAAGUUAAAAUUUUGGAAGGUUAAGAGGUUUGACCUGGAGUUGACUUUAUAGAUAUCGGGUUCAGAUUUCGAUUCCGAAAAUUUGAAAUAGGUUUGUUAUGUCAUUUAUGAUUUGUGUAAAAAAUUUGAGGUCAAUCAGAAUUGAUUCGAUAUGUUUCGGCAUGAGUUUUGGAAGUUGGAAGAUUGAAAAUUCAUAAGUUCGAUUCGGAGUGUGAUUCUUAGUUUCUACGUUGUUUGAUGUGAAUUGAGGCCUCGAAUAGGUCCGAUUUAUGUUAUGGGACUUGUUGGUAAUGUAUGUAUAGUUCAAGUUAAGGAGGUUAGGAGUGUCAAAAUAUCAAAAGGGAGUAAAAUAUUAAGUUUUAAAAGCUGGUUGAAAUUGGCAAAAACAAUGCAUUUAGGCCCUAACGCAUGCUCAACGCACGAAGGAAAAUAGAGCUUCCAAGGAAUAAACCAGCGCAUUUAGUCUUUAAUGCACGCUCGGUGCGCGCUAGAAAAUGUUGUCUGAGCAGUGAUAGCUCACGUUGCGCGCGCGCCGCACGCCUGCCGCGAGGUCCCCUGCAAUAUAAAAGUACAUGAGCGGGGAAAGAGAAAAAUAAAAGGAUUUCAAGGUUAGGAUUUUUCUCUCCAUCACCCAUCCGACCAGGGCUUCCAAUACACACUUAAGGUGAGUUUUUAAGAGCGAUGAUUCCACUUCUCAAUUACUAGUUACAACAAGGUUUUGUAUUUGAUUCCAUAGGAUUUUUUCAAAAUUUCAAGAAUACCCCAAAAGUUGCCUUUCAAGAUUUGGUCUUCAAGAGGUAAUCUUUCACUCUUAAACCAAUAUACAUGGAUUGUUAGUGAAUAUAUAAGCAAGAAAUAAGUAUUCGCACUUAUUGGAUGGUGCUUGGAAGCCAUGAAUACUUAAACUAAAUUUUUGGGUGUUGUAGAUAUUUUUGUAAUGAGUUAAUUAGUAAAAUUGGGUAGAUGUAGUUCAUUGAUGAUUGCUGUGGUGAUAAAGAAGGCAGUUAGUAUACCAAGGAUAUUAUAGUAUCUGUUGUUGGUGGGAAUGAGAGAUUGUUAGAGGAAGAAACACCAUUACUAGAGGUAGUAGAGUGUUAUGCACUCUAGGUAUUUGAUAAAAUGCCUAAAUGACCUAAAAAUCUGGAAUAUUUUACUAAUAUUGGUCCAAUUGAUUUAUGUAGAUGUAGAUUGAAGUUGUAAGAGUAGUGAAAGGUUUUAAUAUCACUAAAUAGACGAAUCAAGAAAGUUCGAUUGUGGCGAUCUUUGCCGAGGGAUUUUCAAGGAAAUAUUCAUCAUGAUUCGAGCCAUUUAGAGUUGGAUAAUCACGGAAAAGGCUUACCAGUGGAUUGAAUUAACGUAUUUUGAGGUAAGUAUCUUGCCUAACCUGUGUGGGAGAAUUAUCCCUUAAGCAUUGAGUCGUUUAUGCAAAUUUUGAAAUGUAAAAGCCGUGUACGCGAGGUGACGAGUACAUACUCAACUUAUAUGUGAAAAAUUCUAUAGGUUUAAAAUCUAAGGCUUCUUUUAUAUAUUUAAUGGGAAAUUGUUGGCACAUUUUUAUAUCUUUUAUUCUCCAUACCCGCUAUUACAUGCUUUGUUUGAAGUUGUGGUUGCUUGUUACAUUCUUUAUUUGUCGAGUUGCUCGUAUAUACUUAUUUGGAAUUGUUACCACUUUGACCAUUUCGUGAAUUCUUUUAUUGUUAAGUUGCCAUUACAUGGAGAUACUUUCAUCAUUAAUUGUUAUCUUCAAAUAUUUAAAUGGGAAUUUAAGUUAUCAAGAUGCAUUGAUUUAGUUUACUAGAAGUUAUGUUUAAAAGAGAUGUUGUUCCUUGCUGAGUUACUUUUCAAUUCAUGUUGUAUUUAUUGAGACUUUGUGUACAUUGUGGUUGAGUAGUAGGCCCCUUAUUGUGAAGAAUAUUGUUAUUGUUGAUUUCUUUGGCAAGUUGUAAUAUUUGGGCACUUGAGGUUCGAUUUGUGAUAUAUUGUGAUAUUGAUACGCAUGUGGUGUGAUAAGGUAUGCUUGAUAUGCGCGGCUAGUAGAGAAACUACUAGAAGCCAUACGAUGUGAUAAAGUGGGUUAAAACGCGAGAUGCUAUUUUGGAAAAAAUAAUUUUUAAAACCAAAUGUGAAGGCUCCCACAGUAAUAUAAGGAAAGAUUGUGAAUUUAUUUAUGAUUUGGGAUGAUAUAAGGAAAGAUUAUGAAUUUAUUUAUGAUUUGGGACCACAAAAAAAGGCGGUACCUCGGGAGUGCCCUUGUUGAUAUUUUUCUAUUGGUGCAUUUGUGUUUGGUUGUUUUGUUCCGUGUUAUAAUAUCCAUUGUUUUCUUCUAUGAUACAUUAAUUGCCUUAGUUUUGUGUAUUUCUUUAAUCGUCUCCUUCCUAUUAUUGUCAUUUUUUUUUUAUUUUUUAUUGUUGUUGUUGUUGUUGUUGUUGUUGUUGUUGUUGUUGUUGUUGUUGUUGUUGUUGUAUUUAGUGUUGUUGAGCCGAAGGCUUGGUGUGAUUGUGGUAUAGAAAUUAUUUUUAAGAAAUGUAGGUUCAUUGUGUUUGUUAUACAUUUUGAGUAACUCUACUUGUUGUUUCGAUGAACUAUUUGAUGUACUUGACUUUUCUUGUUGAUUUGGGCUGCAGUAGUAGACCUGCACAUGCAUACACUGUAACAUACUACUUAUACUAGAUCAUGAGAACGAAACUUGACAUUUAUUGACUAUAUCCAUGUACUCUGGUAUUACCCGUUUUAUUUUGAGAUUGUGAGCCUGUGAAUAUGCCGAACGAAUUAUUUUAUUAGCACGUGAGUUGUCUAUGCAGAUCCACAUAUUGAUAUUAUUGUCACGUGAGUUGUACGUGCAACACGUGAGUUGUCCGUGCAGAUUCGCAUAUUGAUAUUAUUGGAACGUGAGUUAUCCGUGCAACACAUGAGUUGUCCGUGCGGAUCCACAUAUUGAUAUUAUUGGCACGUGAGUUAUCCGUAUAGAUCCAUAUAUUGAUAUUUUGGGCAUGUGAGUUGUCUGUGCGGUUGUGAUAGAGAUAUGGGCACGAGGUGCCGUGAGAAUAUGAUAGUGGGUUGAGACCCGUAUUUUAUGACUAUGAGAUGAGGUAUCACGAAGUGACUUUGUUGUGAAAAACUUGUCUUUAAAAGACUUAAUUAAUUGGUUGUCCUUGUGUUAUUUAUAUGGUUCAACGAUAUUCAUGGUGUUUUUAUUGCUUUGCAGUUUAUAUCAUUGGUUGAUUCUUGUUGCCAUUACUAUUUUCUGUUUUCCAUUAUUGUCGUUAUACUGUUAUACUGCACAAGUUAUUUUGAUUAGUGAGUGUCUUGACUUUACGUCAUCACUACUCCAUCGAGGUUAGUCUUGAUACUUACUGGGUACCGACCGUGGUGUACUCAUACUACACUUCUGCACAUUUUGUGCAGAGCCAGGUAUUGGAGAUAUCGGACUCUGACAGAGUUAGCUUGUUGAUCGCAAGAAUUCAAGGUAUAGCUGCUUGGUCGUCGCAGUCCCUUAGAGUCUUUUCCUUAUAUUAUACUGUCAGUUAUUAUUCGAACAUUAUUAUAUUUCGAUCCUUGAGAUCAUUUCAUGUAUUCAGUUAGAGUUCGUAACUCUGUAUUAUUAGUCUUGGGAGGUUAUAAUUAUUUCCGCUUUUGGUUUCGUCACUUGUGUUAAACUACUAUUAAAACAAAUGGCUUAAAACAUGUUAUAGUGAUCGGCUUACCUAGUCUUAGAGACUAAGGUGCUAUCACGAUGCCUGUGGUGGAAUUUUGGGUCGUGACAAUAAA
rnacentral:lncRNA from 1 species